rnacentral:rRNA from 1 species
CCUACGGGAGGCAGCAGUGGGGAAUAUUGCACAAUGGGGGAAACCCUGAUGCAGCGACGCCGCGUGAGUGAAGAAGUAAUUCUUUAUGUAAAGCUCUAUCAGCAGGGAAGAAAAUGACGGUACCUGAGUAAGAAUCCCCGGCUAACUACGUGCCAGCAGCCGCGGUAAUACGUAGGGGGCAAGCGUUAUCCGGAUUUACUGGGUGUAAAGGGAGCGUAGACGGCAGUGCAAGUCUGGAGUGAAAGGCGGGGGCUCAACCCCCGGACUGCUCUGGAAACUGGACGGCUGGAGUGCAGGAGAGGUAAGUGGAAUGCCUAGUGUAGCGGUGAAAUGCGUAGAUAUUAGGCGGAACACCAGUUGCGAAGGCAGCUUGCUAGGCUGUAACUGACGUUGAGGCUCGAAAGCGUGGGGAGCAAACAGGAUUAGAUACCCUUGUAGUC